rnacentral:rRNA from 1 species
GAUGAACGCUAGCUACAGGCUUAACACAUGCAAGUCGAGGGGAAACGACAUCGAAAGCUUGCUUUUGAUGGGCGUCGACCGGCGCACGGGUGAGUAACGCGUAUCCAACCUGCCCACCACUUGGGGAUAACCUUGCGAAAGUAAGACUAAUACCCAAUGACGUCUCUAGAAGACAUCUGAAAGAGAUUAAAGAUUUAUCGGUGAUGGAUGGGGAUGCGUCUGAUUAGCUUGUUGGCGGGGUAACGGCCCACCAAGGCGACGAUCAGUAGGGGUUCUGAGAGGAAGGUCCCCCACAUUGGAACUGAGACACGGUCCAAACUCCUACGGGAGGCAGCAGUGAGGAAUAUUGGUCAAUGGACGAGAGUCUGAACCAGCCAAGUAGCGUGCAGGAUGACGGCCCUAUGGGUUGUAAACUGCUUUUAUAAGGGAAUAAAGUGAGUCUCGUGAGACUUUUUGCAUGUACCUGAUGAAUAAGGACCGGCUAAUUCCGUG